rnacentral:rRNA from 1 species
UGGUUGAUCCUGCCAGUAGUGUAUGCUUUUCCUAAAGACUAAGCCAUGCAUGCCUUCGAAUAAGAGGAAGCAAUUCUCUCUGAAUCUGCGAACGGCUCCGCAAACCAGUUGUAAACUAAGGCAAGCCAGCCUGGGACCAGCCUGCAAAGGCCAGACCCACGCUAUAUGGAUAACCCUGGUAAUUCUGAGGCUAAUACAUGAACAUAAUCCCUGGCUGACUGGGCCUUCGGGCCUUGGGAAGCUAGGGGACGUGCGAUUUUUGAGGCUUGGGUUUAACCGGGAAGGGGCGCACGUUCAGACCGCGCUACUAAGGGUUGGAGCUGCCUUCGGGCAGGCCCCAGCCCCAGCGGCUCUUGCACUGUGCUUCUGACCUAUCAACUAGACGGCAGCCUAAGGGACAUGCUAUGGUGACAACGGGUACAGAGGAUUAGGGUUCGAUCCUGGAGAGUGGGCCUGAGAGAUUGCUCAUACUUCUAAGGAAGGCAGCAGGCGCGCAACGUUCCCCUUGGGCAAAGCCCGAGGGCGUUAGGGGACAUAUGAAUGCCUGCCCAAUGGGUGGGCAAUUCAAAUGGGUCUGUUGUAAACAGGCUCUCGAGUAACAAUUAGAGGACAAGUC